GUGGUAGGAGAGCGUUCUAUUCAGCGUUGAAGGUAUACCGGUAAGGAGUGCUGGAGCGGAUAGAAGUGAGCAUGCAGGCAUGAGUAGCGAUAAAAGGGGUGAGAAUCCCCUUCGCCGUAAACCCAAGGUUUCCUACGCGAUGCUCGUCAUCGUAGGGUUAGUCGGGUCCUAAGCAAAGUCCAAAAGGGGUAUGCGAUGGAAAAUCGGUUAAUAUUCCGAUACCAAUAUUAGUGUGCGAUGGAAGGACGCUUAAAGUUAGUGGAGCUAGCGGAUGGAAGUGCUAGUCUAAGGAUGUAGAUUAAGUGGUAGGCAAAUCCGCCACUUUUUAUUCGAGAUCUUAAAGGCUCUCCAAAGUCUUCGGAUAGCGGGGAGAAUCCAUAAUACUAUCGAGCCAAGAAAAGUUUCUAAGUUUAGCUAAUAUUGCCCGUACCGUAAACCGACACAGGUGGGUGGGAUGAGUAUUCUAAGGCGCGUGGAAGAACUCUCUUUAAGGAACUCUGCAAAAUAGCACCGUAUCUUCGGUAUAAGGUGUGCCUAACUUUGUAUUAAGAUUCACUCCCAAAGCAAAGAAGGUUACAACAAAGAGUCCCUCCCGACUGUUUACCAUAAACACAGCACUCUGCUAACACGUAAGUGGAUGUAUAGGGUGUGACGCCUGCCCGGUGCUCGAAGGUUAAUUGAUGGGGUUAGCAUUAGCGAAGCUCUUGAUCGAAGCCCGAGUAAACGGCGGCCGUAACUAUAACGGUCCUAAGGUAGCGAAAUUCCUUGUCGGUUAAAUACCGACCUGCAUGAAUGGCGUAACGAGAUGGGAGCUGUCUCAAAGAGGGAUCCAGUGAAAUUGUAGUGGAGGUGAAAAUUCCUCCUACCCGCGGCAAGACGGAAAGACCCCGUGGACCUUUACUACAGCUUGACACUGCUAUUUGGAUAAAGAUGCGCAGGAUAGGUGGGAGGCUUUGAUCCAUAGACUCCGGUUUAUGGUGAGCCAUUGUUGAGAUACCACUCUUCUUUAUUUGAGUAGCUAACUAGCUUGCGUUAUCCGCAAGUAGGACAAUGUCUGGUGGGUAGUUUGACUGGGGCGGUCGCCUCCCAAAAUGUAACGGAGGCUUACAAAGGUUGGCUCAGAACGGUUGGAAAUCGUUCGUAGAGUAUAAAGGCAUAAGCCAGCUUAACUGCAAGACAUACACGUCAAGCAGAGACGAAAGUCGGUCUUAGUGAUCCGGUGGUUCUGUGUGGAAGGGCCAUCGCUCAAAGGAUAAAAGGUACCCCGGGGAUAACAGGCUGAUCUCCCCCAAGAGCUCACAUCGACGGGGAGGUUUGGCACCUCGAUGUCGGCUCAUCGCAUCCUGGGGCUGGAGCAGGUCCCAAGGGUAUGGCUGUUCGCCAUUUAAAGCGGUACGCGAGCUGGGUUCAGAACGUCGUGAGACAGUUCGGUCCCUAUCUGCCGUGGGCGUAAGAAGAUUGAGGAGAGUUGACCCUAGUACGAGAGGACCGGGUUGAACCAGCCACUGGUGUAUCAGUUGUUCUGCCAAGAGCAUCGCUGAGUAGCUAAGCUGGGAUGUGAUAAGAGCUGAAAGCAUCUAAGCUCGAAGCCAACUCCAAGAUGAAUCUUCUUUUAAGAGCUCUAGUAGACUACUAGUUUGAUAGGCUGGGUGUGUAAGUGAUGAGAGUCAUUUAGCUGACCAGUACUAAUAGCUCGUUUGCUUAUCUUUAU
rnacentral:rRNA from 1 species